CGCGCGGCCCACGAUGUAGGGACUGGUCUGUUCUUCACGAGCCUCGGCCGCUGCCAACAAGGCUUGCUCAGCUGUUCUUCACGAGCAGCAACCCAAAAUGCAAAACAGACUCCCGCCGGCGUGCUUCGAGAGGACGCCGCCGCCAGCCUUGACGCGGGCCUCGCCGUCGUGCUUCCAGGACGCCGCCGCCCGGCUGCACACGGGCCCUCCGGCCGUUCCGCUACCGCCCGGAGGCCGCGGGUCCGCUACCGCCGCCGGAUCUGACCGUCACCGGCCAGCCGCCGUGGCCCCACUCCCGGUCGGCGGCGCACGGGCCACUCCGGCGCGGCGGCCACUCCGCACGGGCCACUCCGCCGCACUGGCCGCUCCGGCGCGGCGGCCGCCGGAGCCGGCAACGGGCGGCGCGGCGCGGGGGUCCUAGGCACGGCAUGCGCGCGCUCUUCGGCGUGCGAGACGGAGGAGGAACGGAAGGACAGAGCUGCCGUGGAUGCGGGAAGGGGAAAAAAAAAGAGCUGACGUGUGGACCAGCUAGGAGUUGGUACAGAGAGCAAUAUAUAGUAUGGAUGUGUGCGGAAGAACUGAAAGUGAAUCUUGAUAAGUAGUAUAAAAUAUUAUGUUUAGAGAAUGAUUUUAGAGUACCAUGAGUCUAGAUAGUCUUAGAGGCUGUGUUUAGUUGCGAAAAGGAUACGAAAAGUGUUUGGGAAAAGCAUUAUAGCACUUUUCGUUUGUA